AGAGUUUGAUCCUGGCUCAGGACGAACGCUGGCGGCGUGCCUAACACAUGCAAGUCGAGCGGAGACAGUGAGUAGCUUGCUAUGAACUGUUUUAGCGGCGGACGGGUGAGUAACGCGUGAGCAACCUUUCCCAGACAGGGGAAUAACACACCGAAAGGUGUACUAAUACCGCAUAAGACCACGGGAUCACAUGGUUCUGAGGUAAAAGAUUUAUCGGUUUGGGGUGGGCUCGCGUCCGAUUAGGUAGUUGGUGAGGUAACGGCCCACCAAGCCGACGAUCGGUAGCCGACCUGAGAGGGUGAUCGGCCACAUUGGGACUGAGACACGGCCCAAACUCCUACGGGAGGCAGCAGUGGGGAAUAUUGGGCAAUGGAGGAAACUCUGACCCAGCAACGCCGCGUGGAGGAAGAAGGUUUUCGGAUCGUAAACUCCUGUCCUUGGAGACGAGUAGAAGACGGUAUCCAAGGAGGAAGCCCCGGCUAACUACGUGCCAGCAGCCGCGGUAAUACGUAGGGGGCAAGCGUUGUCCAGAAUAAUUGGGCGUAAAGGGCGUGUAGGCGGCUCGGUAAGUCUGGAGUGAAAGUCCUGCUUUUAAGGUGGGAAUUGCUUUGGAUACUGUCGGGCUUGAGUGCAGGAGAGGUUAGUGGAAUUCCCAGUGUAGCGGUGAAAUGCGUAGAGAUUGGGAGGAACACCAGUGGCGAAGGCGACUAACUGGACUGUAACUGACGCUGAGGCGCGAAAGUGUGGGGAGCAAACAGGAUUAGAUACCCUGGUAGUCCACACUGUAAACGAUGAAUGCUAGGGGUGGGGGGAGUCGACCCCCUUUGGAGCGGCAGUCGAACACAAUUGGCAAUUCCACUGGGGGAGGUACGGCAACAGAGGUGGGAAAGUAAAAGGAAUGUAACGGGGGCCCGCACAAGCAGCGGAGCAUGGGGUUUAAUUUUGACGCAAGCCGAAGUACCUUACCAAGUCUUGACUUCCAGUUAAACUUACAGAGAUGUAAGGUGUGCUCGCACAAAGUGAGACAGGUGGUGCAUGGUUGUCGUCAGCUCGUGUCGUGAGAAGUUGGGUUAAGUCCCGCAACGAGCGCAACCCUUAUCUUCAGUUACUAACGCGUAGAAGGUGAGGACUCUGAAGAGACUGCCGGGGACAACUCGGAGGAAGGUGGGGACGACGUCAAAUCAUCAUGCCCCUUAUGACCUGGGCUACACACGUGCUACAAUGGCCACGACAGAGAGAAGCGAAAUCGCAAGGUAGAGCGGAACUCAAAAAAGUGGUCCCAGUUCGGAUUGUGGGCUGCAACCCGCCCACAUGAAGUCGGAGUUGCUAGUAAUCGCGGAUCAGCAUGCCGCGGUGAAUACGUUCCCGGGCCUUGCACACACCGCCCGUCA
rnacentral:rRNA from 1 species